UUUAUGAAUUCUGAAACCCUCCUUUCCUCCAUUCAUGGAAUCAGGACACUCCACUCUUAGGAUUGCUGGGCAAAUUUUGCCAGGUCUUUUCAACUUCAGCAUCCCAGGAUGGGAGAGAUCCGCGCAGAAGCGACCCCCAGAGACAUGAUGAAGACACUCAGCGGGCUGGGCCACAACUCCGAAGACCCAGAAACUCAGGAUCCCAGAAACCCAGCCAGAAAGCCCGGAGCCGAUAGAAAGUGGAAGCAGCAGAGCCGGAAAGAGAGGGGGUGGGUGUCUCUGAUGCCCACUCAGCGUGCAGAACCACCUGCAAGGAUGGGCGCUGUGGUGCAGCAAGUUAAGGCCACAUCAAGUGCCAGUUCGAGUCCUGGCCCCUCCAUUCCCAAUCCAACUUCCUGGUAACGUACCUGGGAAGGCAGCAGAAGAUGGCCACGUACUUGGACUCCUGCCCAUCCACGUGGGAAACCUGGAUGGAGUUCCUGACUCCUGGCUUUAGCCUGGCCUGGUCCGGCUGUCACAGGCAUUUGGAGAGUGAACCAGUGGACUGAAGAUCCCCCUCUUUCUCUGUGUGUAUGUCUUUUUCUCUGUUAAUCUGCCUUUUAAAUAAAUCAUUUUUCAAAUUAUCCUACUCA
rnacentral:lncRNA from 1 species